UGCCCCCUCUUUCCCCUGGACUAAGACGCAGUCCCAUCAAUGCUGUACUACCAAACCUAUGCCUCACUCCUUCCAAUGCUCUCCUCAUCCUGCGCUCCGCCGCCGCUGUCCGAGUUCUCCGUCUCCUCGUUCUCCACUCCACAACCCUAAUCCUUCAUCGUUUCUCUCAUCUCCUUCCCUGGUUCCUGGAUCCUUGGCUGUCGGUGGAUUUUCGCAUCCUAGGGCUCGGGGCUGACAGAAGAGAGUGAGCACACAGCAGGCGAUGAUGGCAUAGAUCGGUGCCUUGUGCCGUCCCCGCUGCGUGCUCACUUCUCUUCUCGUCAGCUCUCUCGCUCUCUGUUUCUCUUUUCUUUGGCUUUGAUUUAUCCGUCCCCUGAGGCUCGGAUUCCCAGGAAUAGAGAAACAGAUGAGCAGAGAGAGAGAGAAGAGAGAGAGAGAGAGAGAGAACUAACGGUGGUGAGUCAACAUAGCUAUCGGAGCUUGGAAAUAUUCAGCAUUCUCUUAUGUUGGCAAGUGUGGCAAUCAUAGUGGCGUUCACUCCGUCAUGUGGAAUAGUGCUACACUUGACAAAGCUGAUGGAGGUUUAGGUAUCCAAAUCUCAGAGAUGCUAAAAUUUCUUUAAUGGCUAAAACCAUUUUUUUAGUCCUUAAUAGGGAUAACAAACAUUGGGUAGAGAAUUUUCUUUUAAAGUACCGGUUGUUUGACAGUUGGAAUUGUUCAAUAUUCCAAAUUCUUCUUGUUUUUAUAAAUCAUUGUGCAAAAUUGCUAAAGAUAUUAGGCCCAAUCCAUGGAUUAAUUAAUGUUUGUAACACAAAUGUUACUAAUAUCUAGAGGAAUCCUUGGUGUUUGAUAUACCUUGCUUUGAAACCAAUUUUUAUUAAUAUGCAUAUGCCUUGGGAAGAUCUUUGUGUUCUGACUAUGUGAAUGGCAAGCACCUAUAUUAACCAGGAGGUUGUUCAAUGUUUAUUGGGUGAACACAUUGACUAGAAAAGGCUUGCUAAAAAUGGAUAU